rnacentral:rRNA from 1 species
UUUAUGGAGAGUUUGAUCCUGGCUCAGGAUGAACGCUGGCGGCGUGCCUAAUACAUGCAAGUCGAGCGAACGGACGAGAAGCUUGCUUCUCUGAUGUUAGCGGCGGACGGGUGAGUAACACGUAGAUAACCUACCUAUAAGACUGGGAUAACUUCGGGAAACCGGAGCUAAUACCGGAUAAUAUUUUGAACCGCAUGGUUCAAAAGUGAAAGACGGUCUUGCUGUCACUUAUAGAUGGAUCCGCGCUGCAUUAGCUAGUUGGUAAGGUAACGGCUUACCAAGGCAACGAUGCAUAGCCGACCUGAGAGGGUGAUCGGCCACACUGGAACUGAGACACGGUCCAGACUCCUACGGGAGGCAGCAGUAGGGAAUCUUCCGCAAUGGGCGAAAGCCUGACGGAGCAACGCCGCGUGAGUGAUGAAGGUCUUCGGAUCGUAAAACUCUGUUAUUAGGGAAGAACAUAUGUGUAAGUAACUGUGCACAUCUUGACGGUACCUAAUCAGAAAGCCACGGCUAACUACGUGCCAGCAGCCGCGGUAAUACGUAGGUGGCAAGCGUUAUCCGGAAUUAUUGGGCGUAAAGCGCGCGUAGGCGGUUUUUUAAGUCUGAUGUGAAAGCCCACGGCUCAACCGUGGAGGGUCAUUGGAAACUGGAAAACUUGAGUGCAGAAGAGGAAAGUGGAAUUCCAUGUGUAGCGGUGAAAUGCGCAGAGAUAUGGAGGAACACCAGUGGCGAAGGCGACUUUCUGGUCUGUAACUGACGCUGAUGUGCGAAAGCGUGGGGAUCAAACAGGAUUAGAUACCCUGGUAGUCCACGCCGUAAACGAUGAGUGCUAAGUGUUAGGGGGUUUCCGCCCCUUAGUGCUGCAGCUAACGCAUUAAGCACUCCGCCUGGGGAGUACGACCGCAAGGUUGAAACUCAAAGGAAUUGACGGGGACCCGCACAAGCGGUGGAGCAUGUGGUUUAAUUCGAAGCAACGCGAAGAACCUUACCAAAUCUUGACAUCCUUUGACAACUCUAGAGAUAGAGCCUUCCCCUUCGGGGGACAAAGUGACAGGUGGUGCAUGGUUGUCGUCAGCUCGUGUCGUGAGAUGUUGGGUUAAGUCCCGCAACGAGCGCAACCCUUAAGCUUAGUUGCCAUCAUUAAGUUGGGCACUCUAAGUUGACUGCCGGUGACAAACCGGAGGAAGGUGGGGAUGACGUCAAAUCAUCAUGCCCCUUAUGAUUUGGGCUACACACGUGCUACAAUGGACAAUACAAAGGGCAGCGAAACCGCGAGGUCAAGCAAAUCCCAUAAAGUUGUUCUCAGUUCGGAUUGUAGUCUGCAACUCGACUACAUGAAGCUGGAAUCGCUAGUAAUCGUAGAUCAGCAUGCUACGGUGAAUACGUUCCCGGGUCUUGUACACACCGCCCGUCACACCACGAGAGUUUGUAACACCCGAAGCCGGUGGAGUAACCUUUUAGGAGCUAGCCGUCGAAGGUGGGACAAAUGAUUGGGGUGAAGUCGUAACAAGGUAGCCGUAUCGGAAGGUGCGGCUGGAUCACCUCCUUU